GAUUAGCGGAGUGGUUAACGCGUUGGCCUGCUAUAGAUCUCACGGUCUAAGUCAGCCAAUUCCUUCGGGAGCGUGUGUUCGAAUCACACAGGUGUCG